AAAGACAAGAAAAGGAAAGAAAAAAACUUGGGAUGGGACUUAACUUACGUGUUUGCUGACAGCCUAUAGCGGUGACGACUUUUUUUUUUCGGUUUCCUUUAUUUGCUGCUUUAUUGGUUGGGUUUGUGUGGCUUAGAAUGUAACAAGUUUUCCCAUAUCAAAAAAA
rnacentral:ribozyme from 13 species